GGAAUGUGCCAAAGAGACAACAACCCGAUCAUAGAAAAAAACAACAGCAGAAGGUCACCAACAGGUCUUCAAUGUAGCGAGAAAUUCCCGCACCCGGAGGCGUCCUUCAACUGGCCCCUAAACAAAUAUAUACUAGUUCAGUGAUAAUGAACGCCAUACUAAUUUCCAAAUUGUACACAAGAAACUAAAAUUAAAUAAUACAAGACUAACAAA
rnacentral:lncRNA from 1 species